rfam:Oryza sativa Japonica Group DNA, chromosome 1, cultivar: Nipponbare, complete sequence.
AAUAAGUGUAGUUUUACACUAUUCACGUUCAACGUUUGACUGUUCGUCUUAUUUAAAAUUUUUUUAUGAUUAGUAUUUUUAUUGUUAUUAGAUGAUAAAACAUAAAUAGUACUUUAUGUGUGACUAAAUAUUUUUAAUUUUUUCACAAAUUUUUUAAAUAAGACGAAUGGUCAAACGUUGAGUACGAAUAUCCACGGUUUAACUUAUU